GAUGAAGAACGUAGCGAAAUGCGAUAAGUAAUGCGAAUUGCAGAUUUCAGUGAGUCAUCGAAUCUUUGAACGCACAUUGCGCCCCCCAGUAUUCUGGCGGGCAUGCCUGUUCGAGCGUCAUUUCAACCAUCAAGCCCUGCUUGUGUUGGGGUCCUGCGGCUGCCCGCAGGCCCUGAAAACCAGUGGCGGGCUCGCUAGUCACACCGAGCGCAGUAGCACAUCUCGCUCAGGGCGUGCGGCGGGCUCCAGCCGUUAAAGCACCCACCUUUCGCAAGGUUGACCUCGGAUCAGGUAGGAAUACCCGCUGAACUUAAGCAUAUCAAUAAGCGGAGGA
rnacentral:misc_RNA from 1 species